ensembl:lncRNA
GGCAGGAAACAGGAAGGAGCUGAAGUCCAGCUCUCCUACACCAAAGACAGGGAGAGCUGAGUCAGCACCACGGGAGGACUUACGACACAGCUUGAGAGCUUACAGAGACCUGAGAUUGCCAAAGGAGGCCACCAGGGGAACUCUCACCAGUCUUUUGCAGGGCUCUCACGGAUGCUUCCCAUGCUGACUUCUCCUGCCUAUGGCAUUGGUAGAAAGCCCAGGUGACAAAUGCUCAGUCUGUCUGGGUAACGCUUCCAUGCUUCCAUGGUUAUCACUGAAACAAAAGAAGAAAAAAAAAAAGCAUGAAAAAAAAAAAAAGCUAUGAAAUUUGCCUCUCUACUGCUGCUGUCAGAGUGACAUCUUAGAUGAGCAUUACGCAUCCCUGCACCUGACUGAAGGUUCAUCCAAGUCUGUCUUCCACACAGCUCCAUCCCAGUGCCAAAAAGAAACACGGACAGAGAUGCUUAGAAGAUUCUUUGUGCAGAUACAAGUGCAGGGUGCAUGUGUAUUCCCUACAGCAAGAAACAUUAAUUUCUCAAGCAGUAGUAGGAAAGGUCAAUGAAAAGGAAAUAGAUGAUGAACCCCUUUCAUGGAAGAAGUCCUUGCUAAGCCUCUCCCCAUCAAAAAGGAAGCCUCCGGGCAUUGUUAGCAGCAGUGCCCAGAACAUCUUGCACCACAAAAUGCAGCACACUCCUUUUUUUCCACAGGCCCUCAUUUCUCUAAUUGGCAUCAGAUUCACUCCAGUUCAAAU